GACGAACGCUGGCGGCGUGCCUAAUACAUGCAAGUAGAACGCUGAAGAGAGGAGCUUGCUCUUCUUGGAUGAGUUGCGAACGGGUGAGUAACGCGUAGGUAACCUGCCUUGUAGCGGGGGAUAACUAUUGGAAACGAUAGCUAAUACCGCAUAACAAUGGAUGACACAUGUCAUUUAUUUGAAAGGGGCAAUUGCUCCACUACAAGAUGGACCUGCGUUGUAUUAGCUAGUAGGUGAGGUAAUGGCUCACCUAGGCGACGAUACAUAGCCGACCUGAGAGGGUGAUCGGCCACACUGGGACUGAGACACGGCCCAGACUCCUACGGGAGGCAGCAGUAGGGAAUCUUCGGCAAUGGGGGCAACCCUGACCGAGCAACGCCGCGUGAGUGAAGAAGGUUUUCGGAUCGUAAAGCUCUGUUGUAAGUCAAGAACGGGUGUGAGAGUGGAAAGUUCACACUGUGACGGUAGCUACCAGAAAGGGACGGCUAACUACGUG
rnacentral:rRNA from 1 species